GAUGAACGCUGGCGGCGUGCUUAACACAUGCAAGUCGAACGGCAACGCCCUGCUUUUGUGGUCUUCUCGAGUGGCGAACGCGUGAGUAACACGUGAGUAACCUGCCCUAGACUUUGGGAUAACUUCAGGAAACUGGGCCUAAUACCGUAUAGGAGCUCCUGCUGCAUGGUGAGGGUUGGAAAGUUUCGGCGGGUGGGGAUGGACUCGCGGCUUAUCAGCUUGUUGGUGGGGUAGUGGAUUACCAAGGCUUUGGCGGGUCGCCGGCCUGAGAGGGUGACCGGCCACAUUGGGACUGAGAUACGGAGCAGACUGCUACGGGAGGCAGCAGUGGGAAACAUGGCACAACGGGAGGAAGCCUGAUGCAGAAACGCUGCGGGCGGGAUGACGGCCUGUGGGUUGUGAACCGCUUCCGCCUGUGACGAAGCGUUAGUGACGGUAAUGGGUAAAGAAGCACCGGCUAACUACGUG
rnacentral:rRNA from 1 species